CCUAUGGGAAACAACCGCUCAGCGGCAAAGUUUCUCGUUUCUUCCCUUCUUAUCUUCUACUCAUAAAGUCAUAAUAACCUUUGCUUCUCACUUUCAAGUCUCAAGACUCUUGAUCACACAACCACAAGUCCACAAUCAGAGCGGCGAAACUCAGUCACCCGAAACCCUUCACAAGGCGGCGCUUCCCUUGUCACAGAAAGAGUGCGAAAUCGAGUUUGAAGGUGUGUGCCUCUAUUCUGCUGUUCUGCUAGCUACUGGUGUCUUUGCAGGCUGAUCUGCUGUUCAGCUGCUUGUUUCUGCUAGGUUCAAGCUAGGUGCAGCUUCUCUGCACAGGCUGGGUGUUGCUGCUUAUGUUGUUGCGCUUCUUUGCACAGGCUGGGUGUUUCUUUGUUGCUUAUGCCUCUGUUCUUUCGUAUUUAACUUUUUCCCUUCUCUCUCUCUCUCUCUCUCUCUCUCUCUAUAUAUAUAUAUAUAUAUAUAUCACUACUACAAAUAUGUCCUUUAAUAGCGUUCUUUUAAUUUGUUUAGGCCAAAACAUUGUUCCCAUGCCUGAUCUCUCUGAAAUUCUGAUUAUCAGUAUUGAUCUAGUUAAACAAGGGCAGUGGAAGAACCAUUCAGGAAUGUGUACUCCAUGUUGUGUUUGUCUCAGCAAACUCACAUCAGGUAAACCACCAGUUAAAUAAGCCUGGAAGAGGUAUGUAUGUGAGUUAUAUGUAGUGGUUUCUAUUACUUACAUCAUAGCCAAAAAAAAUACUCCCUCCGUCUCUUUUUGUUUUUUACGUAUUCCAUUUUGGGUGUUUCAUUUUGUUCUUUACAUUUCCUUUUAUAUUAUCAUAUAAUGCAUUAAUAUUCUAUCAAAAUUUGUGCCCUAAUAUUAUUUUAACCAAUUAAAUUCAUUGGACAUUAAAUAUUUCUCAUUUUCCCAAUGUCAAAUUUUUGAUAAAAGUGAAAACAUUAUAAAUAAACGUAAUUUUUCUUGUUUAAAUAAAAAAGUAGAGGAAUCUCAAUGCACAUUAAAUAGUCGUUAAAUCGCGUGAAAAAUGUCAAACGUAAAAAACAAAAAGAGACGGAGGGAGUAGUUAGUAAUGCAUCUUCCUUUGAUUUUCUAAAUAUAAGGCUAGGACAAUUUAAGAGCUGAAAAUGCGAGUCUCUAUCUUAAUGAUUAUUAUGGCUCUGUUAUUUUUGUGUUGACAACAUGAAGGAAAUACAUAUAGCUUUAAAUAUCUUAAAAAUAGCCACUUAGCAAUCUCUUCAAAUCUUCAAUAUCUUGUGGAUCCUCAUAUCAACUUUCUGAAAAGUAACAAUCUUCAAAAUUUUAUCAGGUAGAAAAGCGAACACAGGAAAAAAAGGUAAAGAAUUUCUUUGAUUCGUGAAACUUCGGCAAAAUUGAAUUCAUAUGAUUAAAUAGGGAUUAGGCAUUUUAUUUAAAAAUUAUUGACUUGAUAUGAUUAAAUUGGGCGAUUUUUCAUAAAAAAUUAUUGAUUCAUAUACAUGAUUGAAUUGGGCGUUUUUUCAUCUAAGAGUUAUUGAAUUGAUAUGAUUAUUCUGUAGCGUUUUAAAUUGGGAGUUAUUUUUCAAUCAAAACACUAUUGAAUUGGGCGUUUUAUUCAUUCACAUUUGUAAGCUAACCAGGAAGUUAAGGGCUUAAUGAAAGCUUUAUUUUAUACGAAGUAAAGUUUUUUAUUGCUCGUUUCUUUUCCUGCUGUUGUGAGUUUUAUCUGACAAUCCAAGAGAAUCAAAUAAGAACUUUUUCUUUAGAAUAGAGAGGCUAGGAAAAGAUAAAUCCAGAAGUUCAAAUAUUCUAGUAUUCACACAUGUAGCUGACAGUAGUUUCUGAAAUCCAAGAAUGUUAUAAUAAAGUGGUCAGGCGAGCAAUGGAUUAGCUUAGAAAAGGAAAAUGAUGGUUAGCUGUGGCGUUUUGCCAUAGAUUGCAGUGACAAGAGUUUAUGUUAGUUAGUUGACUUACCAAAAUUCUUUUCCCUGCUUGACUUGAAGUGUCUCUACAAAAGAGUUUGAGGGUAGUGAGUUGACUAAGUCACUGACAAGAGACAAAGAAUCCAGGUUGUUACUCCAUUGUCAUCAGCAUUUAUAGGAACUUUUAUUGAGAUUGCUUGCUCUUGACUUUAGGCCUUUACCAAUUAGCCUAUGGCAGUUAAUGGCAGAGUCUUAAGGGUCGUAAACUCACAUGAACUGUUGUUGACUAUCACACAUCUAUCUCUGCAACGGCCAAAAUCAAUAGCCUUGAUCCUAUGUUACUCGGACUCAGUAGAUUGUUUCCAACACAAGGUACGUGUCCAAGCUCCAUAAACCUCUUCAUCUAAGCAUGUGGUAUGCAGCCAGCCCCUGUAAUAUAUCUCUCUGGGAACCGGGAACAAUGUGCGGUUACAGAAGUGGAUUGAGCUACUUUUGGGAUCUGUAUCAGUUCUGGUCUAUUUGAAGUGUUUAAAGGGCAUAUGGAAAUAUUGGGUUGGGAUGAAUUUUCCAAGUGGCAUGGUUCACAUCUCCAUGAACAAGAAAAUAAGAAUUGUUCUUGGACUUCCGCUUGUGAAUUCAUACAUAAAUAUUUUAUGCUUUCGAUACAUAAAGGUGUAGAACAUAAUACUUGUGUAACUUUUUAGUGUAAGGUCAUAUACUUCUUCCAAAGCACUCGUUCUUAUAUUUUCAACUUGUACCACACACUAGCUCAAGAAAUAUAAGCAGGGCCUACAGGAAAAGUUGUCAUAUACAAGUGUUACUUGAUUGCUUUGCAGACUGAAACCUGAACUUAAUAGUUAAAAGAGAUUUGGAGUUAGAUUUUUUGUUGCUUUUUUUCUUCUUCUUUUCCUCUUUUCCUGCUUUUGUGGUUUUCUCAUUCUUUUGGGCAUGGCAGUUCCAUACUUCCAUCUGAAUGCAUGUUUCUAUAUUUUGAUAAGGUCAUUAUUUUUUUCUUCAUGUAUGGCACUUUAUGUUUAUGGUAAUACUAAUCCACAAAUACUAACUUCCAAAAUGUGAAAUUCAUUUUUUUUCUUCAUGUAUUGCACUUAAUGUUAAUAUUUAUGGUAAUAUUAAUUCUUUCGGGUUUUUUUCCUUCUAUAUAUGUAUGAAUUCUUAUACAUCAUUGUUUCGCAGUACUUUUCAGAUUGUCAGUUUUCAAGUUAUGACAAAGAGCAGAUUGACGAAGUAAGAACCGAUUGGGUGCGCUAUGUUGUUCAACAAUUGUAUAAUCGUUAGGUUAUGUUGAAGGAAAUAACAAACAUAAGACUCUAUUGAAGUAUUGAUUAAUGUAUUCUACGACGUAGUUUAAUUUUUAGUUUUAGUUUUAGUUUAGAUCUAUGUAAUCGGUUUUAUUAGGGUGACAAUGUAAUUUUUUUUUUAAUUGAGGUAUGGAUAUUAAUUUUUAACUA